rnacentral:lncRNA from 1 species
CUUGCAAUGUUUUUGAUCUCUGAUUUAUUUUGUGUUUGAACAACAAUAGCCUGGAAGAAUGUUAUUUUUGUAUUUACAAUUAAAUUUCCUAUAAUUGACGGCUAUGCAAGUGGACAAGCAGGGACGUUCGGAAAGCGGGAUAAAUGUAAUUCACAGAAAAUGUUCUCGUCAAAAAAAAGAAAAAAAAAAAGAGGGAUGGUAGUUGUCAGUUCAUUUCUUUGUUUUUAACGUGGAGAUUACGAGUCUCAACAUUCCCCUCUACAGCACCCAUCUCUGCUCGCCCGAUGUCUCUGAUCCACCCAGCG